AGAAGAAAAGUAAUUCAUUGCUUCUAAGAUUGACUUGAGAGCAAAUGCCUCUUCCUGUCGCUGUUCCACGCACUCAUCCAAGCAUAUAUGGUCAACUGCCUCAGAGAUCUUCAUUCUCUCUCCAAAUGUCUCCGAAAAACACUGGUAUUGGAGGCUGGGAAGUCCAAGAGCGCCAUGCUGGCAUCUGGCAAGGAUCAUCCCACGGUGGAAGGUGGAAGUGAGAGCAAUACAGAGAGAAGCACCAGGGGCCAGACUCACUUUAUAACAAUCCACUCUCUUGGUAACUAACCUGCUCCCAUGAUAACAACUUUAAUCCAUUUACGAAGACUCUUCCUCCAUGACCCAAUCACCUCUUAUUAGGCCCUACCUCCCAAAAUUGUUGCAUUGGGGAUUAAGUCUCUAAUACAUGUCCCCCAAAAGGGGGACACAGUCAAACCAUAGCACUAUCACUGGAAUUAAGGUCAUAUAAAUCCAAAGCUGAUUCUGAUGAAUUAAGAUGUACAUGAUAAACCCCAGAGCAAUCACACAAAUACUACAUUAGAAGAUACUCAAUGACUAAAUGCAAAAGA